rnacentral:pre_miRNA from 1 species
CAACUACUCCCUCUGUCCCAAAUUUCUUGUCUUAGAUUUGUCUAGAUACGGAUGUAUCUAAUACUAAAAUGUGACUUGAUACAUCUGUAUAUAGACAAAUCUAAGACAAGAAUUUUGGGACGGAGGGAGUACUUU